CCUACGGGAGGCAGCAGUGGGGAAUAUUGCUCAAUGGGCGAAAGCCUGACGCAGCGACGCCGCGUGAGGGAUGAAGGUCUUCGGAUCGUAAACCUCUGUCAGCAGGGAAGAACGGUCACUGUGCUAAUCAGUAGUGAAUUGACGGUACCUGCAAAGGAAGCACCGGCUAACUCCGUGCCAGCAGCCGCGGUAAUACGGAGGGUGCGAGCGUUAAUCGGAAUUACUGGGCGUAAAGCGCUCGUAGGCGGUAUGUCAAGUCAAGGGUGAAAUCCCCGCGCUCAACGUGGGAACUGCCUUUGAAACUGGCAGACUGGAGUGUGUGAGAGGGUAGUGGAAUUCCAGGUGUAGGAGUGAAAUCCGUAGAUAUCUGGAGGAACAUCAGUGGCGAAGGCGACUAUCUGGCACAUAACUGACGCUGAGGAGCGAAAGCGUGGGUAGCAAACAGGAUUAGAUACCCCUGUAGUC
rnacentral:rRNA from 1 species